AGUGGAAGCGUCUGGAAAGGCGUGCGAUACAGGGUGACAGCCCCGUACACAAAAAUGCACAUACUGUGAGCUCGAUGAGUAGGGCGGGACACGUGGUAUCCUGUCUGAAUAUGGGGGGACCAUCCUCCAAGGCUAAAUACUCCUGACUGACCGAUAGUGAACCAGUACCGUGAGGGAAAGGCGAAAAGAACCCCGGCGAGGGGAGUGAAAAAGAACCUGAAACCGUGUACGUACAAGCAGUGGGAGCACGCUUAGGCGUGUGACUGCGUACCUUUUGUAUAAUGGGUCAGCGACUUAUAUUCUGUAGCAAGGUUAACCGAAUAGGGGAGCCGAAGGGAAACCGAGUCUUAACUGGGCGUUAAGUUGCAGGGUAUAGACCCGAAACCCGGUGAUCUAGCCAUGGGCAGGUUGAAGGUUGGGUAACACUAACUGGAGGACCGAACCGACUAAUGUUGAAAAAUUAGCGGAUGACUUGUGGCUGGGGGUGAAAGGCCAAUCAAACCGGGAGAUAGCUGGUUCUCCCCGAAAGCUAUUUAGGUAGCGCCUCGUGAAUUCAUCUCCGGGGGUAGAGCACUGUUUCGGCAAGGGGGUCAUCCCGACUUACCAACCCGAUGCAAACUGCGAAUACCGGAGAAUGUUAUCACGGGAGACACACGGCGGGUGCUAACGUCCGUCGUGAAGAGGGAAACAACCCAGACCGCCAGCUAAGGUCCCAAAGUCAUGGUUAAGUGGGAAACGAUGUGGGAAGGCCCAGACAGCCAGGAUGUUGGCUUAGAAGCAGCCAUCAUUUAAAGAAAGCGUAAUAGCUCACUGGUCGAGUCGGCCUGCGCGGAAGAUGUAACGGGGCUAAACCAUGCACCGAAGCUGCGGCAGCGACGCUUAUGCGUUGUUGGGUAGGGGAGCGUUCUGUAAGCCUGUGAAGGUGUGCUGUGAGGUAUGCUGGAGGUAUCAGAAGUGCGAAUGCUGACAUAAGUAACGAUAAAGCGGGUGAAAAGCCCGCUCGCCGGAAGACCAAGGGUUCCUGUCCAACGUUAAUCGGGGCAGGGUGAGUCGACCCCUAAGGCGAGGCCGAAAGGCGUAGUCGAUGGGAAACAGGUUAAUAUUCCUGUACUUGGUGUUACUGCGAAGGGGGGACGGAGAAGGCUAUGUUGGCCGGGCGACGGUUGUCCCGGUUUAAGCGUGUAGGCUGGUUUUCCAGGCAAAUCCGGAAAAUCAAGGCCGAGGCGUGAUGACGAGGCACUACGGUGCUGAAGCAACAAAUGCCCUGCUUCCAGGAAAAGCCUCUAAGCAUCAGGUAACAUCAAAUCGUACCCCAAACCGACACAGGUGGUCAGGUAGAGAAUACCAAGGCGCUUGAGAGAACUCGGGUGAAGGAACUAGGCAAAAUGGUGCCGUAACUUCGGGAGAAGGCACGCUGAUACGUAGGUGAAGCGACUUGCUCGUGGAGCUGAAAUCAGUCGAAGAUACCAGCUGGCUGCAACUGUUUAUUAAAAACACAGCACUGUGCAAACACGAAAGUGGACGUAUACGGUGUGACGCCUGCCCGGUGCCGGAAGGUUAAUUGAUGGGGUUAGCGCAAGCGAAGCUCUUGAUCGAAGCCCCGGUAAACGGCGGCCGUAACUAUAACGGUCCUAAGGUAGCGAAAUUCCUUGUCGGGUAAGUUCCGACCUGCACGAAUGGCGUAAUGAUGGCCAGGCUGUCUCCACCCGAGACUCAGUGAAAUUGAACUCGCUGUGAAGAUGCAGUGUACCCGCGGCAAGACGGAAAGACCCCGUGAACCUUUACUAUAGCUUGACACUGAACAUUGAGCCUUGAUGUGUAGGAUAGGUGGGAGGCUUUGAAGUGUGGACGCCAGUCUGCAUGGAGCCGACCUUGAAAUACCACCCUUUAAUGUUUGAUGUUCUAACGUGGACCCGUGAUCCGGGUUGCGGACAGUGUCUGGUGGGUAGUUUGACUGGGGCGGUCUCCUCCUAAAGAGUAACGGAGGAGCACGAAGGUUGGCUAAUCCUGGUCGGACAUCAGGAGGUUAGUGCAAUGGCAUAAGCCAGCUUGACUGCGAGCGUGACGGCGCGAGCAGGUGCGAAAGCAGGUCAUAGUGAUCCGGUGGUUCUGAAUGGAAGGGCCAUCGCUCAACGGAUAAAAGGUACUCCGGGGAUAACAGGCUGAUACCGCCCAAGAGUUCAUAUCGACGGCGGUGUUUGGCACCUCGAUGUCGGCUCAUCACAUCCUGGGGCUGAAGUAGGUCCCAAGGGUAUGGCUGUUCGCCAUUUAAAGUGGUACGCGAGCUGGGUUUAGAACGUCGUGAGACAGUUCGGUCCCUAUCUGCCGUGGGCGCUGGAGAACUGAGGGGGGCUGCUCCUAGUACGAGAGGACCGGAGUGGACGCAUCACUGGUGUUCGGGUUGUCAUGCCAAUGGCACUGCCCGGUAGCUAAAUGCGGAAGAGAUAAGUGCUGAAAGCAUCUAAGCACGAAACUUGCCCCGAGAUGAGUUCUCCCUGACCCUUUAAGGGUCCUGAAGGAACGUUGAAGACGACGACGUUGAUAGGCCGGGUGUGUAAGCGCAGCGAUGCGUUGAGCUAACCGGUACUAAUGAACCGUGAGGCUUAACCUUACAACGCCGAAG
rnacentral:rRNA from 1 species